AAAGACCUCGCGUUAUUGGAGCGGCCGAUAUCUGAUUAGCUAGUUGGUGGGGUAAAGGCUCACCAAGGCGACGAUCAGUAGCUGGUCUGAGAGGAUGAUCAGCCACACUGGAACUGAGACACGGUCCAGACUCCUACGGGAGGCAGCAGUGGGGAAUUUUGGACAAUGGGCGCAAGCCUGAUCCAGCCAUUCCGCGUGAGUGAAGAAGGCCUUCGGGUUGUAAAGCUCUUUCGCAAGGGAAGAAACGAUACGAGCGAAUAACUCGUGUUAAUGACGGUACCUUGAUAAGAAGCACCGGCUAACUACGUGCCAGCAGCCGCGGUAAUACGUAGGGUGCGAGCGUUAAUCGGAAUUACUGGGCGUAAAGCUUGCGCAGGCGGUUUUGUAAGUCAGAUGUGAAAUCCCCGGGCUCAACCUGGGAACU
rnacentral:rRNA from 1 species